ACCCGCUGAACUUAAGCAUAUCAAUAAGCGGAGGAAAAGAAACCAACAGGGAUUGCCCUAGUAACGGCGAGUGAAGCGGCAACAGCUCAAAUUUGAAAUCAGGCUCUUUCAGAGUCCGAGUUGUAAUUUGCAGAGGGCGCUUUGGCUUUGGCAGCGGUCCAAGUUCCUUGGAACAGGACGUCACAGAGGGUGAGAAUCCCGUACGUGGUCGCUAGCUAUUGCCGUGUAAAGCCCCUUCGACGAGUCGAGUUGUUUGGGAAUGCAGCUCUAAAUGGGAGGUAAAUUUCUUCUAAAGCUAAAUAUUGGCCAGAGACCGAUAGCGCACAAGUAGAGUGAUCGAAAGAUGAAAAGCACUUUGGAAAGAGAGUCAAACAGCACGUGAAAUUGUUGAAAGGGAAGCGCUUGCAGCCAGACUUGCUUGCAGUUGCUCAUCCGGGCUUUUGCCCGGUGCACUCUUCUGUAGGCAGGCCAGCAUCAGUUUGGGCGGUGGGAUAAAGGUCUCUGUCACGUACCUCUCUUCGGGGAGGCCUUAUAGGGGAGACGACAUACCACCAGCCUAGACUGAGGUCCGCGCAUCUGCUAGGAUGCUGGCGUAAUGGCUGU
rnacentral:rRNA from 1 species